UGCCCAGCAACUCCUAUCUCUACCUCUUCGUGGUACCGUCCGGAAACUAUGAGCAACCUCCGGGAAAAUCGGGUAACCAAUCCCGGUGGGAACUUUGGUCGUAGGCUGACUGGGAUGG
rfam:Aedes albopictus isolate Foshan contig69178, whole genome shotgun sequence.